GACGUAGGGGGCGGGCGUUGUCCGGAAUCACUGGGCGUAAAGAGCUCGUAGGCGGGGUCUUGCGUCGUGGAGUAAAUUUCAGCGCUCAACGCUGAAAUCAUCUGCGAUACGGGGACUCUUGAGGACAGGAGAGGAGAGCGGAAUUCCGAGUGUAGCGGUGAAAUGCGUAGAGAUUCGGAGGAACACCAGUGGCGAAGGCGGCUUUCUGGCCUGAUUCUGACGCUGAGGAGCGAAAGCCAGGGGAGCAAACGGG
rnacentral:rRNA from 1 species